UCCGUAGGUGAACCUGCGGAGGGAUCAUUACACAAUACAAUAUGAAGGCUGUCCGCAGCUGGAGUAUUUUAUUACCCUUGUCUUUUGCGCACUUGUUGUUUCCUGGGCGGGUUCGCUCGCCACCAGGACCACCAAAUAAACCUUUUUUAUGCAGUUGCAAUCAGCGUCAGUACAAACAAUGUAAAUCAUUUACAACUUUCAACAACGGAUCUCUUGGUUCUGGCAUCGAUGAAGAACGCAGCGAAAUGCGAUACGUAGUGUGAAUUGCAGAAUUCAGUGAAUCAUCGAAUCUUUGAACGCACAUUGCGCCCUUUGGUAUUCCAAAGGGCAUGCCUGUUCGAGCGUCAUUUGUACCCUCAAGCUUUGCUUGGUGUUGGGCGUUUUUGUCUUUGGUCGCCCAAAGACUCGCCUUAAAGUGAUUGGCAGCCGGCCUUUCUGGUUUCGCAGCGCAGCACAUUUUUUCGCUUGCCAUCAGCAAGACGGCAAUCCAUCAAGCCUCCUCUCACGUUUGACCUCGGAUCAGGUAGGAUACC
rnacentral:rRNA from 1 species